GAAGGGUUGAAGAGGUAACUCCAAUCAUGUGCACAAACAUAGAUGAGAAAAAAUUACACCAAAGUCUAGUAUCAUGGUUCAUGGAAGAAUCAACUCUAGGUUACACAACAAAUCCUAAGAGCACUAAAAACAUUAUGACCCUUCUUCAGUUUGAGCUAGUUCAACCAAUCCUAAUCUUCACUAUCUGAAUCUAUAUUACAACAUUACGUCAUAUGGAAAAUCAUGCAUGUGAUGGAGCAGCAGCUUGAGAAUGAUUUAGGACAUCAUACAGAACAAGCAGAUUGAAAAUGCUGGGUUGUCUCAGCCAAGUAGCCAACAAAUUUCCAGGAGAAUAAUACCUUCCCAAAUUACCCUCAGCAAUCCUAAAGGGUGACCCCAUUCCAUUAAGGAGUGCCUCGACAGCCCUUUUCAAAGUUCCGUCACCCAUCACUUUGCUGUGCUUUCCCCAACCAGUUAAGAUGCUGCAAAACAAAUUAAAAUUAAAAUUAUGAUCAACAGUUUAAUCCUCUCAUUAAUACAAUCGAAGGAAAAUAAAAUCUUAGGUGAAAAAGAUCCAUACGUCACAAUCUUAGGCAGUUCAGAGCCUUCAAAUAAAGUACUAUGCAUAUUGAGCAACCAUGAAUGAACCAUUGCACAAGCAGCACCACAAGACAUCAGAUGCAGAUCCAGACAAGAAAUUGACCAUUCACCUUUCCACACAUUUCGGCGUCUCCCUUCGGUUACAACCAUUUCAGCUCCGCGUCUCUGAUGUGAAAAUCAAAUUUAUUACAACCAAAAUAGAAAAUGAGUGAAUUUCUUACAAUACUAACAGAUGCAAAACUAGCAAAUUUCUAAUGGCUGGACUUUACCUGACCAAACUGCCACAGCAUAUCUGUGAGGGCGUUAUAGAAGGCGGAUGCAGUUGAAGAAUCCAUACGCCUCAUUUCAUCAAACAGAGUUUGAGCCUGAAACCAUACUUGUUCUCUAUAACCCAUCAACAAUCCAUGCGUUACACCAUAGACCUGGUUAUCAAACAGGCGAAGUGCACCUAACAGCAUUGAAGCGUCCUCAAAUGAAUUGCAACGACUGCAUCAAAAUGGAUCAAGUACAAGCUUUGAGAUUGGUUGUAUAUUCAUUACAAAAUAUGUAUGAUUUAAGAUAAUCGAAAGAAAAAAAUUGUCAGUAUUUACCUGCAAGCAUUCAAAAUGGCUGAAAAUGUGACAACAUUUGGUUUAAUGUUCAGCUCAUGCAUUUUUUGGAAGAGCCACAAUAUGCAGUNUGAGAAGAGAGUGAGAAAGUUGCAGAGUUGAUUGGACAAAAUUGCCCCUCUUUUCUUUUUAAAUAGACAAAAUUGCCCUCAUUGAAAUUAAUAAAAAAAUGCCACACAAGGGAUGUAGAUGGGGGUUUUUCACAUAGGGAUGUUUGUGUAUCAUUGUUCUUAAAAAAUAGAGUUCCCAAUCCCAACACUAUUACUAUAAUAGUAAUAUCUUUUAUUUGAUUAUGCACUUAAAUAUUCUAUCGUGCACAACAAUUAUUUUUUGUCAGCUCAUCAAAUUUAAGGCUAAAUUGCAUCCCCAUAACUUUCACAAAUUGACGAUUUUAUCGUCCAAACUUUAAAAAUGACACUUUCUGUGCCUCCAACUUUAACUCCUUUUACAAAAGUAAUAACACAUUGUCCUCGUGAGCUUAGCUCAAUUGGUAAAGAUAAUACAUAAUAUAUGCAAAGUUCGGGAUUCGAAUCCUGACCAAAAAAAAAAAAAAGUGACAACAAUCCAACUUACAGCUACAAGUAUUAGCAAAAUGAAUAAGAUGGUAAAUGAUUCGAAAUGCACUCCAAUUAUGUUUGAAAGUUAAUUGAAAUUUACAUUAAAUAUAACCUGAAACUAAUCCUCCACUACACAGUAUUUAGCUUUUUUCUACUUUUUAAUUCCAACACAAAUUAUACCUUUCACCUCAAAUUUUAUCAGGUUCCUGAGUUUAGUAAGUUCUGGAAGAAUUUCCACUAAUUUAUUCAUGUGAUAGGGUAUAAUUUCUUGUACGUUUCAAAUACAACCAUCAAAGCAAAGGGUUGUGCAACAUAUUAAAGCAGUAUACCUAAGGGCUCAAUAGUUUACCCUUAGCAACCCUCCCAUUUUGCUUCCUUACAAUAAAAUCAAAGCACCUAAGGGCCAACAAAAAGUGACCAGUAUUACCAAACUCUUUAAGCAUAUAAAUAUAAUAUUAUCAAUAUCAGCAAUAUUGUUACCAGCUUUGAAGAGACAGUGAAGCACCUCCUCUGCAGCAUUGCUGUGAACAUGUUUGUUUCGUGUUACCCUUGGCAUUCCAGAGUGCAUUUUAGCUGCAACAACAGGUGCAGACUUUAAGGAAGAAGACCAACGGUUUUUAUGCCGUUUAUGACUAUUGUGGUGAUUGUGAUUUCGAUUGUUUUCAGCAGGUCUUGGAGCAGGGACUAAGGAGUAGUUUGGUGGAGGAGUUGGUGUAGAAGUCAUUGUGGAAAAAAAGAGAGAACAAUGGUUUGUGUUGGUAUUAAGUGAAUGCUUUAUUGCACUAAUCAAUGUGUUUUUUUGGCUUGAGUUGCAACAAUGUAAAGUGAAGGUUGAGAAUGGAAGGAGAGGGCUUUUGAGUUGUGUUUGUGUGAAGAAAAUGGUUAAAGAUGAAUGGGAAUUUAUAGGAAAUAUAUGCAUGCAUUAUGCUUUAAUUUUGAUUGUAUUAUAUUUAGGAAAAAAUAAAAUCCUUUUUGAUAUAAAUAAUUUUAAUUGAUUGAUAUGUAAAAUUACUUUGCAUUAAAAAAAUCAGCUAAAAAAUAUUUUUGUUUUGGAAGCAUUUUUCAUUGCCAAUCUAAAAAGCAUUAUUAUUCAUUUCGUGCGAAGAAAGAUAUUCGUAUUAAAAUAGUAUUGUUUUCAAAAUUGAACUUAUAUAUUUGGAAUUUUAAGAUAAAUUUUAAGAUAACUUCGUAUCAUAUUACGAUUUCCGCGUGAUUGCAUUUGAAAAUAUUUUUACAUUUAUAGGAAAACUUUACAACUUUCUUUUUGACAGAUGUCGUAAUUCAUUUGUGGUUCAUAGACACAAAACUAUUCAUUUCGUGUUGAGAAAGACAACUAUAAUAAAGAUAUACACUAUAUUGUUUACAAAUUAGGUUUAUGCAUUUUUAAUUUGAUGAUUUAGAUAAUAUUAUAACAAAAAAUUUGUAACUAUAUUCUUGACCUUCAAUGAUUCAUAACUUUUGAGAUUAUUCUUUGUGCUGCGAAAGACAAUAUCAUAUUUUCUUUGACAGGAGAAAGACAAUAAAAUUAAGAUAUUUAUUAUAUUAUUUACUAAAUAAAAUUAUGACUUGUGAACUAAAUGUCUAAAUUGAUGAAUUAUGGAUAAAAUAAAAUUAGAUAUAUGCUGGGUUGAUAGAAGACCUUUAGAGGAACUUGUUGGUGAGCUUGUGAAAAACAAUUUUAUUAGUGUUAGACUAACAUAUGCAAUUUACAUGUGAACAAGACAAGAACAUGACAGUGUGAAUGAUACUUAUAAUGAUUAGGAUGCACCUUAGGUUAUGGAAGGUAUUGCUAAGUAUAAUCCUUCUAUUUUGAAAACGACUCAUAUUGAGGCUUUUGAUGCUGUUGUGAAUGAACUUGAUGCUCAGAAUGUUAUGUUUUGCUUGUUAAUCAUGUUAGUGAGCCUAAGUUGUGUUGUAAUGAUGAUAAUGAUAAUGAAUCUUUCAUGAUAGACAUUUUGAUCCUCAAGAAUGGAUUCAUGGACUUACUUUGGCUAUCAAUUGCAUUUGAAUGGACAUCAUAUAUAUCCGGUAUAUGUAUAUUGCUUGAAAAUUUGGGGCACGAAAACUGACCCAUGGGUGAACGCGCACUCGGGACAAAAUUGCGGUUUUUUAAGUAUUUGUCUUAAAAUCAAAACAAGUCGAGUCAUAAUUUUCAACCAUCACUAUAUCUAAUGAAUAAAAAUAACAAGAAAAAAAAUUAUAAAUAACUUGCGGAACAAGUCUAAGAAAGAAAAAAAAUGGCACCAAAAUUCAAAUUCUGGGCACCAACGUGAGUUAAGUCACGUUGCCCUUCAAAUCGUACUUUUGGGCGUUUUGGAGGUGAAGAGGGAAAGAAGUGUGUGUUUGAAGUGUGGAGGUGCUGAGAAUUGCCUAAAACAAGUAAUGCAUCGCAACGUGAGUUAACUCACGUUGGCUUUAUACCUACUGGCUUUAUACCUACAUGACUUAAGUCACGUAGUGUUAAACGAGAGUUAACUCACAUUGGAUAUCCCGAACGUGAGUUAACUCACGCUGGGGUUGAUAAUACACUUACUUUCUAUUAGAAAUAGCCAUGAGUGGUCUAGCUCAACUGACAAAUGCCGAAAUUGCAAGUCCGGACAUCGUGAUCCGGGUUCGAACCCAGGACCUCACAUUUACGUGUGAGUUUAAUUUUAGUGGAUUACCACUUCAUCUAAGACCAAAAAAAAAAAAAACAGAGAAAUACCCAUGAGUGAUUGGCUUGUCUCUGUCUAAAGUCGAAAGUAUACUUUUUGCACUUUGUUUGGAAUUUUGUCAUAGAUGACCUGAUGAUUUGCACUUGUAUUCAUGACAUAAUGAUUUUAUUUUUUUAAUUUGUCACUUGAAUAAUAUUUCAGACUCUUUAGUGAGUCAUUGCUAGUAACAGAAAAAAAGUUUAGACAUUUUUAUAAUAAUAUCUGGAAUCUCUACCUCAAGAUUAUCACAGAAAUUUUAAUUAUCAUAGUUUCUAAAGAACGAAAAACAAGUUCUUGCUAAAGCUUUAGAAUUGGAACAAGAAAACUGAGAGGACCAUGUUCCAGUUGACUCAUAUUGUUCCAAUUUGAACAACCAUGACAUAAUAUAUAUUAGCAAUGGCGAAUUUUUUUUGCAGGCCGAUGACAGCGUGAAAUAGAGUUAAAAAACCAUACGAAGUAAACAAAAUUUAUUCAUGUCAUCAAGCUAUGCAUCACAAUUCACAAGUGAAAACUCUUCACACCUUGAAGGGUUGAAGAGGUAACUCCAAUCAUGUGCACAAACAUAGAUGAGAAAAAAUUACACCAAAGUCUAGUAUCAUGGUUCAUGGAAGAAUCAACUCUAGGUUACACAACAAAUCCUAAGAGCACUAAAAACAUUAUGACCCUUCUUCAGUUUGAGCUAGUUCAACCAAUCCUAAUCUUCACUAUCUGAAUCUAUAUUACAACAUUACGUCAUAUGGAAAAUCAUGCAUGUGAUGGAGCAGCAGCUUGAGA
rnacentral:lncRNA from 1 species